rnacentral:rRNA from 1 species
UACGUAGGUGGCGAGCGUUGUCCGGAUUUACUGGGCGUAAAGAGCGCGCAGGCGGUCGUAUAAGUCGCGUGUGAAAGCCCCCGGCUCAACUGGGGAGGGUCACGCGAUACUGUUCGACUCGAAGGCAGGAGAGGGAAGUGGAAUUCCCGGUGUAGUGGUGAAAUGCGUAGAUAUCGGGAGGAACACCAGUGGCGAAGGCGACUUCCUGGUCCAGCACCGACGUUCAGGCACGAAAGCGUGGGGAGCAAACAGG